ensembl:miRNA cja-mir-656 cja-mir-656
GGUUCCUGAAAUAGGUUGGCUGUGAGGUGUUCACUUUCUAUAUGAUGAAUAUUAUACAGUCAGCCUCUUUCCGGCAUCC